AUUGAACGCUGGCGGCAGGCCUAACACAUGCAAGUCGAGCGAGCGGCGGACGGGUGAGAAAAAUCUGGGAAACUGCACGAUGGAGGGGGGUAACUACUGGAAAAGGUAGCUAAUACCCCACACCAUCAGAUGUGCCCAGAUGGGAUUAGCUAGUAGGUGGGGUAACGUCUCACCAAGGCGACGAUCCCUAGCUGGUCUGGGAGGAUGACCAGCCACACUGGAACUGAAAAACGGUCCAGACUCCGACGGGAGGCAGAAGUGGGGAGUAUUGCACAGUGGGCGCAAGCCUGAUGCAGCCAUGCCGCGUGUGUGAAGAAGGCCUUCGGGUUGUAAAGCACGUUCAGCGGGGAGGCGUUACCCGCAGAAGAAGCACCGGCUAACUCCGUGCCAGCAGGAGCGGUAAUAC
rnacentral:rRNA from 1 species